AAUGAACGCUGGCGGCAUGCCUAACACAUGCAAGUCGAACGAAGCCUUCGGGCUUAGUGGCGCACGGGUGCGUAACGCGUGGGAAUCUGCCCUUGGGUUCGGAAUAACAGUUAGAAAUGACUGCUAAUACCGAAUGAUGUCGUAAGACCAAAGAUUUAUCGCCCAGGGAUGAGCCCGCGUAGGAUUAGCUAGUUGGUGUGGUAAAGGCGCACCAAGGCGACGAUCCUUAGCGGUCUGAGAGGAUGAUCAGCCACACUGGGACUGAGACACGGCCCAGACUCCUACGGGAGGCAGCAGUGGGGAAGUAUUGGACAAUGGGCGGAAAGCCUGAUCCAGCAAUGCCGCGUGAGGGAUGAAGGCCUUCGGUUG
rnacentral:rRNA from 1 species